UACGGAGGGUGCAAGCGUUAUCCGGAUUCACUGGGUUUAAAGGGUGCGUAGGCGGUUCGAUAAGUCAGUGGUGAAAGCUCGCAGCUUAACUGUGAAACUGCCAUUGAAACUGCCGAACUUGAGUACGAUUGAUGUGGGCGGAAUACAUCAUGUAGCGGUGAAAUGCUUAGAUAUGAUGUAGAACACCGAUUGCGAAGGCAGCUCACAAAAUCGCAACUGACGCUGAGGCACGAAAGCGUGGGGAGCAAACAGG
rnacentral:rRNA from 1 species